CUCGCAUCGCGACACGUGGCCCUCUCACUUAACUCUCCGACACGCGAUCAUCUCUUUGGUGGCCGAAACCCUAACGUUCGAACGUUAGAGGGUUGUUGUUUAGGUGGCGGAGGGGAACUGCGCCUGGACGCGGAUGAUGCCGUGCUGCCCGCCGAUCGCGGCCGUUCCAAUGGGGCCCCGGAGCAACGGUGAGGUAUGAAAUACAAUUUUUAUGCUUCGACGAUGGUGUAGAACUGCUAACAAUUAGAAUCUAUACUCCUGCAUGUAAGAUGAUGCUCUAAAUCAUAUUCUUCUAAAUUCUUAAUUGUCAAUGAAGAGAUUUUUUUUUGUGCAUAAAGAGAGUUUAAGCCUUGCUCAGUCUCAUUCUUCUUCUAGUUGAUAAUAAAAAUUGAGAAAUUGAGAUACAAAUUCUCGAUGGUGAUUUUCUAGGAUGAGAUUGCAUCGAUCGCCUCUUGUGGACCCUUACUUUCAGGAGCCUCAUGCAGGUCAUGCCGUUUCCUAAUGUUUUAAUAUUUUCAUUGUUAGAAAAUUGAUCUCUAUGUUCUUCAGAUCUUUGAAGCAAAAAUUUUGUGCUUCCAAAGUUUUUAUUGAUCAAAAUCACUACAAUAGAACAGGUUGCUUCACCCCAAGUCAUUAAGCUAUGAUGCAAACACUAAUCAUUUGCUCUUAGACCCUGUUCUAGUAAUUGCUGCAUGAUAUGGCAUUGGUUUUUGAAACUUAAUUGAAACACAUGACAAAGGCCUGAUACUGAUGUUGUUUAUAGUUUAUUUUCUGUAUAAUAAGACAUGCUUGAAACUUUUCAAAGUUCUUUGAAACUUAUAAUCAUGUUAUGAUGUUUUGGUUGGUCUUCUACAGUGACUAAUUCUGUCCAUUAUUAUGUGCAACGAUUUUUUUUUUUUUGUUUGGAACAAAUGAAAAGAAAAAGUUCUUUUUUUCUUAUGAAAGCAUGUGACUAGAAGAAGCCUAAAGGAGCCUUAACUUGUUCACAAUCUUAAAACUUGUAAACUAUCUUGUAAUUUCAGGAAGCAUUUCUUCAGCGUUGGACUUGCCAUGACCACAAUCUCACAAACAACCUGCACUAUUUAGGGCACAUGGUUCGAGAAAUCAUACACAAAUAUUGUCCUCAUUUUCCAAUUAGGCUUCCAAGCAUCAUCAUCUUCUUUGUCCACAUAUUCUUGUAGUGAUAUUAAGGUGCUUGACACCUCUAAGAUGGUGCCAAAUUAAGAAAUCCAAUGCCGAAUCCCAACAUGUCUGAUGACGGUGGUUGGUAGCCACUGCACUGGCUUUUGCUGAAGUAGUUACUUCUCCCACAGCAAGGGACAUUGAUCUUCUGUGUGCGAACAAGCACAUUUGAGUUGUGGAGAACACAAAUGGAUUGAAGAACGCUAUUUGGUUUAUGUAAGUGUCAAAACCUAUUGGCUCUCCUAGAAGGUGGAUGAGUCUAGCCUUAGAAACACUAGACUCUUUUUCUAAUGUUUAGCACCUGGUGAGAAAAUGGGUUAUCGGGGACAAUAAAUGGGAUGAAUGAGACUUUAUAUUAAUUCACAACUUUAAAUGGGCUAUUUUCGCUUGGGUUUAUGGGUUAAAAGUACGUUGAUUGGGUAUUCUAGUUCUUUGUAACUCAUUUCCACAUAUUUAACCUCCAAAUGCAGUUUAGCUGCCUCAACCAAAUCGUACCUUGGUACAACUGGAUACGGACCUGAAAGAGAUCAACUGAUUUGAACAGCUUCAGCUCAGUUAUGUCUUUCCUAUUAUUUUAAUUUGUAAACUUCUCUAAAAAUGUUGUUUAGUUCAGUUUGUUUUCAUAUUCUGGGAAUAAAAUAAGUUUUCUUUGAUUUGGAAGUUUGCCUUUAAAUCAAACCAAAUCCAGCUGCAUGCACCCAUAGUAAGGUUUCCUCUGUAGGUAUAUUAACUUUUGGGCUUAAAGCCUGUUUGCUCCAUGAUUAAAAGGAUCAGCCCAUAGUACUCAGUUCUCAUCUAAUAGGCAGGAUUGUUUCUUAGGGCAUCGUUGUCAAUGUUUGCUGCAUCAUAAUCAUGCUAUAUUUAUUUGUUUCCUUCAGGGUUGAAGAUGGAUCAGAUAUGGAUUGAUUGGAGAAAACUUAUUCAUAUCCACUUUUUAUUACUGUAUUCAAACUGAGUUAUGGGUCUUUCAUGGGUGCUAACUUAUGCAGCUAUAUGUAAAACGGAAGAUAAAAAGAGAAAAAGUAAAUGUGCCGAGAUAGAACGAUUGAGCAACUAAUUUCAUUUCUAUAUAUUAUUAUAUGUAAACUUGACUUUCAGAUGUAAUGCAUUGGAUAUCCAGAUAAAGAAAGCAAGUGCACCAUAUCUGGGUUAAGAACGUUCCAGAUAGCAAAAUUCUGAUACAAAUAUAGAUAUCUAACCCUAUCUAGAUAUUGAAAUAGACCAAAAGCCUCUGACUUCUUUUGCCCAUAGUAUUGUUUCAUUUAAUUCUUACCAAAUUUGCUGCAAUGUGAGAGCAUGUGGUGGUCAUGUUACAAUCGCUUGCUUAGAUACUUGGGCCUCACCAAACAUUCACUUCGGGGGCUAUCUCUAAUACUAUCGUCAAACUCAACAUGACAUGGUCUGCCUUUCAUACUCAGCUCUAUAUAUUUCUCCAUAAAAGAAGAAAACAAGAAAAAAUUAUCUUACUUUGAAAUUUUAGAAUUAUUUCCUUAUAGCUGAACAAUUAAUUUUGCUUCCUUGAUAGUGGGAGUUGUCUUAAAGUUUGGACUCAAAACUGGUAUAAGAGAAGGAAGGAAUACUUUCUUAGGCAUAAUAUUGUUUUCCUAUUCUCUUCUCAUUGCAAGAAACUAAAAUUCCAAUGUGGUGGAUAAACAGUGUGGUCACAGAUGCAUCAUUAGAAUCAGGAGGCCUUUGAUUUUGGCUCAACAAGAAGCUCUGCAAACUUAAAUGCCAGUUGGAUGAUAUACAUUUAAUUAUAGACCUCAAGUGGAGGACAAAAAAUUAUGGAGAAAUGUUGUGCAGAGGAUUUUUGAUGAUUGGCUAUUAAUGUAUAGAAUGAAUGAAGGAUGGUUUGGUUAAGAGGGGUAAGGCAUGAGAUCUCAUGUGCUGCUUCUAUGGAAUGAAUGCUAUUGUGAAUCAUUUGCUUACAAGAUGCAGCCAAUCAAUUAUACAAGUUUCUUGAAAGAUUUUAUGUUCAGUUGAAUCCUGCAUCAGUCAUCAAAUGGUUCAAAGUUGCAUUAGAAGAGAAUUAAGGAGGUAAAUGAUUAAAUCAUAUUAUUCAUCUUGGAUAGAUGCUGCUGCAGAUAAGAAUGAAAAACUUUUGGCAAAAGAUUAGUUGUUCUGUAGUUGGAUUCUCUUCUGGUGGCUAAUGAAGGCGACUGAUCCUGCUUUGGUUCUUGCUGCUGGUUCUGCCUUUGGAAGCUUGUUUUUUGAUGGGUUUUCUUUUCUGAUACCUGGCUGUACCUGAAUUGACUUUUAUUUUGUCUUUGUUUUAUUGAUUUUUUUUAAUUAUUUAUUGAUCUUGCUCAUCUAAUGAGAACCUUUUGUAUCCCUUCUACAGUGGGAAAGUGAAGACAAGUGAGUGCUCCACUCUUCACAUCAGAAAAGGAUCAGCAUCUUCAGCUGCAGCUUGCUGAAUCAACCAUAUGUAUUGUCUGGACCAUCAAAUCUUCCGAAGGGCCCAUUGAUUCUGCACCUCCAAGCUACUGUGACAGGCUGCACUCUUUGUGGUCACUACCUCAGAAUUCAGAAUUGUGGGAACAACAGGAAGAAGCAUACCAGGUGCAAAUGCAGACAUAUGCUAGUGAAGCAAGACCAGAAGAAAGUGGAAGACAUAGUGCUCAAUUAUUUCACCAUAGAGGAGACAGUGCACAUGUUCUUCCCCUUCUGGUGACUCAAUUCUUUUCUUCACAGAAAGAGAGCCAACAGCUGCUAGAAAGAUCAUGAGCUUUCCGACCGCAUUAGGAGUUUGCAAUGAUGGAUGCAUCUCUGCCUGGUGUUCCAGGAUUUCUACAUGAAUGUCAGGAGUCAUUAGCAGUUAGUUGAAUUAAAAGACCCAUAUAUGUUUGUGCCUCAUAUUCAAGCACAAAGACUUACACAGGUGUAUGUGACUUCAUUUCAUAACAAGGUUCACCUUCUGUGUAUGCUUUUA